GAUGAACGCUGGCGGCGUGCCUAAUACAUGCAAGUCGAGCGAAUGGAUUAAGAGCUUGCUCUUAUGGAGUUAGCGGCGGACGGGUGAGUAACACGUGGGUAACCUGCCCAUAAGACUGGGAUAACUCCGGGAAACCGGGGCUAAUACCGGAUAACAUUUUGAACCGCAUGGUUCGAAAUUGAAUGGCGGCUUCGGCUGUCACUUAUGGAUGGACCCGCGUCGCAUUAGCUAGUUGGUGAGGUAACGGCUCACCAAGGCAACGAUGCGUAGCCGACCUGAGAGGGUGAUCGGCCACACUGGGACUGAGACACGGCCCAGACUCCUACGGGAGGCAGCAGUAGGGAAUCUUCCGCAAUGGACGAAAGUCUGACGGAGCAACGCCGCGUGAGUGACGAAGGCUUUCGGGUCGUAAAACUCUGUUGUUAGGGAAGAACAAGUGCUAGUUGAAUAAGCUGGCACCUUGACGGUACCUAACCAGAAAGCCACGGCUAACUACGUGCCAGCCGCCGCCGUAA
rnacentral:rRNA from 1 species